GUUAUUCUAUCUUUAGUAGAGAUGGGAUCUCACUCUUGCUCAAGCUGGUCUUGAACUCCUGAGCUCAAGGGAUCCUCCCGCCUGAGCCUCCCAGAGUGCUAGGAUUACAAAUGUGAACCACUGUGCCAGGAGUGUACAUCCUACUGCUCAAUGUCAUCGCUGAGGUCUGCUUUUUCACGCGUUUGUCUUCUGAUGGUUCGGUGCACAGAGUUAGUCACUACUGAAAAUACUGGCAUGCUGAGAGCUUGUAAAAAAGUGAUGGGAAUUUUUGGAAAAUUUAUUAAGAACCAUCUAAAGACAGUUGAAACCAUUUUAGAACUCUCAAGAUGCCUUGAAUUCUUAAGUAUACAUGAAAUAACUGACCUGUUAGAUGACAGCAUAGAAGCAAGUGCUAUAGUGAUGCAACCACCUGAAAAUGCUACAGCACCUGUUUCUGAUGAGGUUUCAAGAGUUGAAGAAGGUGGAAUAAUAAUCUGCCAGGCUCUUUGAUGUGCACACCAGCAUAUUUUUUUCAACAUGGCUAUAAUGCUGAGUCUUGACUCAGAUGAUCCCUCACAUGCACCUGAAGAUGACUCUCUUGAUGAUGAAGUUCCAUCUAUGUUUACUGCACAGCAACCUCCUCCAUCAAAGAAAAAGAAAGUGAGACCCCAUCUCUAUGAAAAAAUAGAAAAACUAAGGCAAGAGGAUAGCUUUAGCUCAAGAGGUUGAGGUUGAUGUGAGCUAUGACACCAUGGCACUCUACUCAGGGCACCAGAGUUAGACUCUAUCUCAAAAAAAAAAAAAAAAAAAGUGACAAAAAUUGUUUACAAAUGGAAUAAAGCUGACCUGACUGCGCGGCCCAUAGCAGAUAGAGUUACAGAAUCUAUCAAUGAUUUCUUCACCAAAAUGAGAACUCCCACAGAAAUUCUUGAACUUUUUCUUGAUGACAAGCUCAUUGAAUUCAUUGUCUUAUACUCCAAGUUAGAUGCUGCAAGUAAGUGGGUAAUCUUGGCUUGAGUAAUUCUGAGUUCAAAUAUUUUCUGGGGCUGGAUGCGAUGGCUCACGCCUGUAAUCCCAGCACUCUGAAAGGCCCAGGCAGGCAGAUUGCUUGAGCUCAGGAGUUGGAGACCCUGCUUCUAAAAAUAGCCAGGCAUUGUGGUGGGAGCCUGUAGUGCCUUCUUCUUGGGAGGCUGAGGCAAGAGAAUCGCUUGAGCCCAAGAGUUUGAGGUUGCUGUAAGCUGUGCCACCACAGCACUCUACCAAGGGCAACAUAGUGAGACUCUGUCACCAAAAAAAAAAAAAAAAAACAAA